AACGAACGCUGGCGGCAGGCUUAACACAUGCAAGUCGAACGGGCAUAGCAACAUGUCAGUGGCAGACGGGUGAGUAACACGUGGGAACCUUCCUAGAGGUACGGAACAACGCAGGGAAACUUGCGCUAAUACCGUAUACGCUCGAGAGAGGAAAGAUUUAUCGCCUUUAGACGGGCCCGCGUAGGAUUAGGUAGUUGGUGAGGUAACGGCUCACCAAGCCUACGAUCCUUAGCUGAUCUGAGAGGAUGAUCAGCCACACUGGAACUGAGACACGGUCCAGACUCCUACGGGAGGCAGCAGUGGGGAAUCUUGGACAAUGGGCGCAAGCCUGAUCCAGCCAUGCCGCGUGAGUGAAGAAGGCCUUCGGGUUGUAAAGCUCUUUUGUCAGGGACGAUAAUGACGGUACCUGAAGAAUAAGCCCCGGCAAACUUCGUGCCAGCCGCCGCCGUAAAAC
rnacentral:rRNA from 1 species